AUUGAACGCUGGCGGCAUGCUUUACACAUGCAAGUCGAACGGUAACAGGCCGCAAGGUGCUGACGAGUGGCGAACGGGUGAGUAAUGCAUCGGAACGUGCCCAGUCGUGGGGGAUAACGCAGCGAAAGCUGUGCUAAUACCGCAUACGAUCUAUGGAUGAAAGCGGGGGACCGUAAGGCCUCGCGCGAUUGGAGCGGCCGAUGUCAGAUUAGGUAGUUGGUGGGGUAAAGGCUCACCAAGCCAACGAUCUGUAGCUGGUCUGAGAGGACGACCAGCCGCACUGGGACUGAGACACGGCCCAGACUCAUACGGGAGGCAGCAGUGGGGAAUUUUGGACAAUGGGCGCAAGCCUGAUCCAGCAAUGCCGCGUGCAGGAAGAAGGCCUUCGGGUUGUAAACUGCUUUUGUACGGAACGAAAAGGUUUGGGUUAAUACCCUGGGCCGAUGACGGUACCGUAAGAAUAAGCACCGGCUAACUACGUGCCAGCAGCCGCCGUAA
rnacentral:rRNA from 1 species